UACGUAGGGUCCGAGCGUUGUCCGGAAUUAUUGGGCGUAAAGGGCUCGUAGGCGGUUUGUCGCGUCGGGAGUGAUAUCUUACAGCUUAACUGUGAACUUGCUUCCGAUACGGGCAGACUUGAGGCAUUCAGGGGAGAACGGAAUUCCUGGUGUAGCGGUGAAAUGCGCAGAUAUCAGGAGGAACACCGGUGGCGAAGGCGGUUCUCUGGACCACAACUGACGCUGAGGCGCGAAAGCUAGGGGAGCAAACAGG
rnacentral:rRNA from 1 species